UGUAGGUUUGUGCUGUGUUUGUAUGUGUGAUCUGAGCGCCAUCCGGUGGACAGACGACAUUUUUAUUUGAUACUCGCGCCAUUUUUGCGUUGAGUAUGGGCGCAACCAAGUGUAUAAUUGGAGGGGGGCACUCACCCAUUUUCCUUAACAAACGGAAAUAUAUUAAAAACGAGUAGACGUAAAUAAAUAGAAUAGAUGAAAAGACAGAUCAGUUUGCAAGGUUCAUUAAAGGGGGACAUAUAGAAAACAUUUUCUACUGUAUAUUGGGAGGGAAAGAUUGGUAUUACCUCAACAUUGGCGGGGACACGCCCCCCCCAAAAGAAUACGUGGUUACGCCCAUGGUUGUAGGAGACACAUUUUUCCUCAGGAGUCACAACACAGCAGACACGGGGUUUUCUUUCUUCAAUUUUAACUUUUCUCAGGAGUUUAAGUCAUCUGGUGGGCGUGGCUGAGUGCGCAGGUGCGUCAUUCAAACCGAGCGAGAUGACUGUUGAGAAUCAGACAGCGCGAGACAGCUCCUUUCAGCUAAAUUGAGGGUGGUUCCUAUUAGGUCUGCUAAUGGGACCGCCCUCCUGAUUGGCUGAAUAUAAAGGCACCCGCUCUAGCGGCGCUGCUUGCAGAACAGCAAGAUGUCACGGAGGAGAGCGUGUCCAGUUUGUCGGCGUUUCUACACCAACGUGCAGGCUCAUCUCGCCCAGAUUCAUCAGCAGGGUCCAGAGGAACGCGGGCUUCACCUGGCGGCGGCGAGCGGGUGAUAUGCGGAUCCUCUGGACUGCCCGGUGUCUGCAUGCAGCAGGAAAGGUUUCCGCCGGCUAGACUGCCACCUGUUCGACCUUCACCAGCUCGCCGGGGACACGGUCAGGAAGUUACUACUCGGCGCCAAAAUAAAGCUGCUCAACAACAACUGCAAGCUUUCGGUGAGGCGAAGAAAUCUAAAAGUUGCAAAUGUUCUCAACUGAUCGAAAAAGUAGCAAAACUCUCCGCAGAAUUUGAGCGGCUGUCAGCACUAGUAGCCCGGCAUGUCCCCGGCCGCCUGCCCAACCCCCUUUUUUUUUUUUCCAGAGCCAAUGUUAAGUGUACACGGCUCGGCUUGACAGGCCUCAGAGAUGUCCCCAAAGCCACGGCCAACAGCAAGCAGGAGAGGAGACACGUCGAGCACUUCCUUCACUUUGUGGGCCAACACGGACAGUCCCCUGGCAGCCCACCUGAAGUACAUUGACAAUGUCUCGAGAGUCCUUGAAUGGAUGAAAUCAUUGUGCCAGCGGUAGAAGGUCACUACGGCCAAGUUAUUUCUGACGCGCGUUUCCAAGUUCCUCCAUUAACUCGAUGAGAGACUGACCGAGGGCCGAGUUGGCUCCACGAGGUUGUCGAGUCUCCAAAGACUGCUGCAGCGGGAGUGCAGACAUCUGUCCGGUCGAGUCGUGCUCCACAGGCAAGGCGUGCGAGCGGAGAAGAGCGUGGGAGUACUUACGGCUCCUGCACGGCAAACUGUCGGACGCUGUCCCUGCUUCGCUGAUCUGAAGGCUCGUCCAGCAGACCCGGACAUGCUCAACCAUUGCAUCGGGCUGCUGUGUGCUCACUUCUUUUCGGUCAGCGGACACAGGACCGGAGUCCUGCAGAACCUCACGACUGAGGAGUUUGAGAACCUCGAGAAGGCUGACGGCGGUCUCUUUCUGAUCAAUGUGAAGCAGCACAAACCUGCCUCCGCUUUCGGACUCGCUAAGCUGGCCGUCACCAAGCUGGAGCUGAAGUGGCUGAAAGCUUUCUGCCGCCUGAGGAAGCAUAUGCCGGGAUAUGAGACUUCUGUGGGGUGGCUUUUCUUUUCUGGCACACAGGCCAGGAUUUCUGCGCAUGUCGCACAGCCGAAAUUUCCUCUUUUUUUUUUUUUUUUUAAGUACAUGGACGGAGCUCCGGGCAGAGGGCGAAGAGAGCGUCCAGACUCGUGAGCUCCAGAAUGAUCACCGCUGAAUUUUUUCCUCGUUGAUUAUAAUGGUUUAUGCGUUCCUAGUCAGGGCAAGCUACUGUUUGUUGCACCUCUUCCAUCCUCCUCCACGGUCUGAAGCCAGCUGCAGCCACCUUUUCAUCACCGUCACAAUCUCAGCACUUGUUGCCCUUGAUGUUAACGGGUUCUUUCGGACAGCAUCUAAUGAACAUGAGGCAAAACAGUUGACAACUUCUGCAAUUCGAGACACGCUAAAAAGGCUAUUUAUACUUCUACGUCAGACCUUUGCGUUGCCUGA